rnacentral:rRNA from 1 species
CCUACGGGAGGCAGCAGUAGGGAAUAUUGCUCAAUGGGGGAAACCCUGAAGCAGCAACGCCGCGUGGAGGAUGAAGGUUUUCGGAGUGGAAACGCCUGUUGGUAGAGAAGAGAAUGACGGUAUCUAACGAAUAAGCACCGGCUAACUCCGUGCCAGCAGCCGCGGUAAUACGGAGGGUGCAAGCGUUACUCGGAAUCACUGGGCGUAAAGGGCGCGUAGGCGGGAUAGCAAGUCAGAUGUGAAAUCCUAUGGCUUAACCAUAGAACUGCAUUUGAAACUGUUAUUCUAGAGUAUGGGAGAGGUAGGUGGAAUUCUUGGUGUAGAGGUGAAAUCCGUAGAGAUCAAGAGGAAUACUCAUUGCGAAGGCGACCUGCUAGAACAUAACUGACGCUGAUGCGCGAAAGCGUGGGGAGCAAACAGGAUUAGAUACCCCAGUAGUC